rnacentral:rRNA from 1 species
AUUGAACGCUGGCGGCAUGCUUUACACAUGCAAGUCGAACGGUAACAGGUCUUCGGAUGCUGACGAGUGGCGAACGGGUGAGUAAUACAUCGGAACGUGCCUAGUAGUGGGGGAUAACUACUCGAAAGAGUAGCUAAUACCGCAUGAGAUCUACGGAUGAAAGCAGGGGACCUUCGGGCCUUGUGCUACUAGAGCGGCUGAUGGCAGAUUAGGUAGUUGGUGGGGUAAAGGCUUACCAAGCCUGCGAUCUGUAGCUGGUCUGAGAGGACGACCAGCCACACUGGGACUGAGACACGGCCCAGACUCCUACGGUAGGCAGUAGUGGGGAAUUUUGGACAAUGGGCGAAAGCCUGAUCCAGCAAUGCCGCGUGCAGGAUGAAGGCCCUCGGGUUGUAAACUGCUUUUGUACGGAACGAAAAGCCUGGGGCUAAUAUCCCCGGGUCAUGACGGUACCGUAAGAAUAAGCACCGGCUAACUACGUGCCAGCAGCCGCCGUAA